CAAAGUACGAGAGUCAUGCUAUUAAUUGUCCAUAGCAGGGAUGGAGAGUGAGCUAGUGAGAGCCUCUUCAGUGUGGAUGGGGUAUAGCGGACAUUUUCAACAACAAAGACUGCACUUCCAGUUUGUGUUCUUUACUCUGAACUAUUUUGUCUUCAUUCUUAGUUACAGCACAUGGAACCACCGUUGGCAUGCAAAACAUUCAAUCUAAAACAAAACGUAACACGUUAUAAAUAAUAUCAAUGUAGAAUGACGAAUUAGCCAUCCAUUGUGUUAUAUCAUAAAUUGUCUUACAUGCCGUCACUGUUGUCAAAAGAUUAUAAACAUGUUAAAUAAAGUUACUAACCCAGUCA